rnacentral:misc_RNA from 1 species
CAGAGCAUCGUGCCCUUCGGGGUAGAUCUCCCACCCUGUGUAUUUUAUACCUUUUGUUGCUUUGGCGGGCCGCCCUAGGCCACCGGCUCCGGCUGGUGAGCGCCCGCCAGAGGACCCCAAACUCUGAAUGUUAGUGUCGUCUGAGUACUAUAUAAUCGUUA